UACUGUCUCUCUUUUUAAAUUCACUUGCUUGAGUGUGCCCUAUACCUUAAUUUUUGGUCUAAAUUCAAACUUUAAUGAUACUACCUCUUUUUUUUUCAAUCAGUUCCCUCCAAUCUUCCAUCCUUGUCUAACCAAAUGUGAUUGUUGUGGGAUCAUGAAGUACAACAGCCAAGAAAGAAUUCUUGAGACUUCAUAGGGUGCAACUUAAACUGUUCAUCUAGAGAUGAGGCCUGAAUCCAAAGAAAAAAACACCAAAGCUCAAAACUGAUCAUGAAGAGACAUCUCAUGGUAUGAUAAUGCAAAGACUCACCAGGGAUAAUCCAUACCUGGAGAAUUCUAGAAUGUGAUGAUUCAUCCAGAGUCCCAAGAAAACCAUGACAGAUUCUGGAAUCAAGUUGCCUGGAUCCACAGGAAAACUCUCAUGCAUGAGAUGGAGCAUAAUUAGAAUGAACUUAAAUGACAGUGUAGUCUAGACACAAACCUUGUGGGGGUCUUUUGUUUUGUUGUUGCUGUUUUGUUUGGCUUUGUUUUGUUUUGUUUUUUUACAAACCUUGUUAUGUAAAAGAGUAUGACAUGAAGGAAAAGACUACAAACAAAACUCACACUUAACCCACCAUAAGAAAUGCUUUAAUGUUAACUAUACUGGAAUUAAAUUUAAAAAAAAAAAAAAGGAUCAUGGUAAGCAGUCUGCAUAGAUGGCCCCAGUGGACCACAUCUCCUGAUAUUUGUGCUUUUGUGUAGCCCUAUUGAAUCUCGAUUGGUUUGUGACUUACUAUAUCCAAUAGAAAUGCAAAAGAAGUGAUGUUCUGGACUUCUGAGUCUCGGCAUUAAGGUCUAGAAGCUUAUGAUUUUUUUUCAUUUUUGGAGUUCUGUAGAGGUUAUACACACUCUUGGAGGCUACAAAAGCCCUUACAUACCACCCAUAAAGGGGUAUUUGAUAUACCAAGGUGUUUAAUAAAGGAUUAAUCUUACCCAAAGAAAGGUUUGGCCCUUUGGCUUGGCUCCUGGGAGAUAAUCUUAUAAGUCCUUAGAAUGUCCUUCCUGUGGGGUGCCUAGGUGGCGCAGUCAGUUGAGUGUUUGACUUCAGUUCAGGUCAUGAUCUCACAGUUCGUGAGUUUGAGCUCCACGUCAGGCUUUGUGCUGACAGCUCAGAGCCUGGAGCCUGCUUCGGAUUCUGUGUCUCCCUCUCUCUCUGCUCCUCCCCUGCUCACACGCUGUCUCUCUCUCUCUCUCUCUCUC